AUUGAACGCUGGCGGAAUGCUUUACACAUGCAAGUCGAACGGCAGCACGGACUUCGGUCUGGUGGCGAGUGGCGAACGGGUGAGUAAUGUAUCGGAACGUGCCCAGUCGUGGGGGAUAACGUAGUGAAAAUUACGCUAAUACCGCAUACGAUCUAUGGAUGAAAGCGGGGGAUCGCAAGACCUCGCGCGAUUGGAGCGGCCGAUAUCAGAUUAGGUAGUUGGUGGGGUAAAGGCCCACCAAGCCAACGAUCUGUAGCUGGUCUGAGAGGACGACCAUCCACACUGGAACUGAGACACGGUCCAGACUCCUACGGGAGGCAGCAGUGGGGAAUUUUGGACAAUGGGCGAAAGCCUGAUCCAGCCAUUCCGCGUGCAGGAUGAAGGCCCUCGGGUUGUAAACUGCUUUUGUACAGAACGAAAGGGUUUCUACUAAUACUAGGAGCUCAUGACGGUACUGUAAGAAUAAGCACCGGCUAACUACGUGCCAGCAGCCGCGGUAA
rnacentral:rRNA from 1 species